rnacentral:lncRNA from 1 species
AGCUCCUUGGGUACUUUCUCUAGCUCCUCCAUUGGGAGCCCUGUGAUCCAUCCAAUAGCUGACUGUGAGCAUCCACUAUUGUGUUUUCUAGGCCCCGGCAUUUGUUUGUGAUUUUAAGCAACAUAUUCACACCACACUGCUCUGCUGUCAGUAUAGUCACUGACCACACCAAGAAAAACAGAAGCAUGUUGACUUUGAUACUUUGACAGGCUGUUACAACAGUAGCCUGGGAAAGUUUGAGCUCUUCAUGUGUUUGCAGCUUUCACCCACUGCUCUGAACUGGAAUGAGGCUGGGUCAAAUGGGAAAAUGCUCAACACCAGUAAAGCAACUCCAGCCCAGCCUCUGUGGUCUGAGGAUCCUAGAAGCAGGAAUCUAUGUAGCAACCAGUGACUUCCUCCCUCCUUGGUAGGUCAAGGGCCACAGCUGUCUAGCGUGUGAAAUAAGCCAGAGCAGACUCACAACGAUCCAGGACAACUUUGAGGCUGUUUUUCCUGCUUGCAGUAGCAGUGUGAUCCCUGAACAGAAUUUCCACCAAGAGAGAUAAAAAGAAAACUCAAAACUACUCCAGCCAAAACUCCUGCGAAGUGAAAUUUGGAGGUGGCUAAGUAUAAAUACUGGGUAUUGGGAUGGACUGACACAGGCUAAUCCUAGAAAGAUUAGAAUGUUACUGCCACCUACUGUCCCAUCUUCAUCAGUGUUGAAUGAUCACUUCAAAGUAUUUAGUAAGUCAUGAAGAAGUGGUAUUUUCCAUUUAAAAAAAAAAACCCACUAUCUCAGAAGGACAUUUCACUGUUAUCUGUUCUUCCUAGAAAUAUGGGGCCUUAGAAAUUAAAGCCACAUGCAUUCCUUAUUAAAAAUAUAAUAAAAUAACCCACCCCAGCCAUCCCAUUACUGCUGACUAUAGAAAUUUGUUAUGUAUAAUUUACAUUCUUUCCAGUACUUUCUGUUUUUCAGAAGAGAAGGGCAAAGCUCUAUGACUUCUCCAGAUUGUAAAUCACAUUACUGCAGGCAGAGGGAGCGAAGUGGACAGGAUUCCCAGAGAGAGGCUCCCCUCUGUUCACUCUGUGAAGGCUGGGAAAUUCACCAUUUACCUCCAAACAUUCUAGACUAAAUUUCAAAAGGUAAGCCUUAUUGAGCAAAGCAGGUAUUAUUUCUUAGGAUGCUCUAAAGCAAGUGGUUUCUAAGUAGGAACCAAGAAAGCUGGAACUGAUGGAACUAAUUUUAUGUUCCUGGGUGAGAGCUUGAUUUCCGAGUUCACUUAGGAGGCAGUUGCAGCAAAGGCUGGCGUUUACGAGAUGCUGAGUAUCACUAAACCCUCAGUGGGGUAGUGAACAUCUAAGCAUGGCUGGGAGGGCAAGUGGGCAAAGCCUCUUGGUGAAAGGUGAAAGGGACAUGAGGGGAAGGAGAGAGGCCUGUAAGGACCAAGGAUAACAAAAGGGAGAGGAUUUGACAAGAAAGACACUCAGAAUCUCCUCCUGCUUUACACCCUGAACUGUGGUAUCUUUAAAGCCAGCAAUCUUUCAAGAGGGUCAUGAGAUGACUUAUAGUCACCACUCACUAACAGAUACCUCUGGAACAUACGCUCUACUUCCAAUCAACCUAGGGUCAAUUUCCAGACGUAGGCAGAAACUUAAGCUAGGACCAGUGGUAUGGUGUGGGGGAAAAUGGCACAGUUAUGCAAAGUGUUGGUUUCCUCAUUGCAGUAGCUAAAACACUUUCUCAAAGUGAAAAUGAAAGUUUGAAUUCAAUGCACAUGGAAAGUAUCUAAGGACUUUCCUAGCUGUUUCCUACAAAGCCAUAGAGAAAUAAUGCUUUGUAUGCUUUGAUUCUUGCACACUCCACAGGCACUUUCUGUCUAAUUAUAGAAGUUGGGCAUGUGCCUCUUCAGAGGGGUUGGCCUACCCGCUAGAUGAGUCCCACAAUGCCAGUCCCUGAACUGUCCUGGAAAACAAACUUGGAAACCCUCAUACAACCUAUAUGAGCAAUACAAAAUUUUAGGCUUAUCAAAAUUGCACAGAAAUAAAACACUCUUCUAUCUGCA